GCGUCUUUUUGGUUUCCCAGGGAAACGCGAGAAAGCGCAGGACGGAGAGAGAGAGCGUAACCCGAUGAGGAGCGCUUUUACUGAUAUUCUAAUAUUACAGCUCAUUUUCUGCUGUUUCUCCUCAUUUCUUUAUCUGCAGGGCGGUGGAAUCCUCACAGCAGACUGUCAGUGAGCAGCUGAGGCCAGCAGCUGAAUGUGUGUACCUGUGCCCCAGAGUUUGGAGAGAGAUGGAGAACAAUACCCACACUCUACCAUCGCUUUCACCUCUCCAUUCCCCAACAAACCCUUCCAAAGCUCUUUCACUGUCACCAUCUCUUCCUCAGCCCUCUGCUACUGUCCCUGCCUCACUGCCUCUCUCCCCCCUGUCGCCCAUCCUUAACUCUUCUGGAGGGCAUAACCAGCACUGCCUCAGUCCUUCAGGUCCGACUGACCAGGAUGACCUGACCUGCCUCAACUGGCUGCACCAGAGGAACCUACUGCCCCUGCAGCCAAUUCCCAAAAUCCCCACACUGCCUCAGUUAGAGUCACUGGACCCACUCCCCAUCCAGAAUCGACCUCCUUCCCCAGCCAAGCCUCCGUUUUCCUUCAGCAGUCUCAUCUUCAUGGCGAUUGAAGACUCUCCAGAUAAAAGGCUUCCAGUGAAAGGUAUCUACGAGUGGAUCGUCAACAACUUUCCCUACUACAGAACAGCCCCCAGCGGCUGGAGAAACUCCGUCCGACACAACCUGUCCCUCAGUAAGAGCUUUCGGAGGAUACACCGGGACAAGAGUCAAUCCGUUGGAAAGGGGUCACUAUGGUGCGUUUGUCCAGAAUUUCGUCCUGCUCUUUUGGAGGUACUUAAGAAAACCUAUUAUUGUCACAGCAGCAGCAGCAAUUUACUGAACAGCCGCACAUUGUUGGAGGCAGCUGAGUAUGGACAGACUGUUAUUAUGGACACUACAGAAAUUUCAGACCUGGAUUCGAAUAACCCACCUCUGUCCUCCGACCCAUCCUGCUCUUUGAUCCCUGAUCACGAGGAGCUGGUUGCCAUGGAGUCGGUGGAACUGGAAGAAGAAGCCUGUGAAGAGCCGGAGAAGGACCCGCUCGCAGACAGCGGCUACAUUGAGUUCCACUAUUACCAGUGUCAGCAGUACCAGUACCUGGUUCUACCAGGAGAUACGGAACUGGACCUGGAAACUGUUGAGAUCCUGCAGCUUGAUGCUGAGGCUCAGGAGGCUGCAGGAUCACUGCUGGACUUGGCAGGAGGAAAUCACUGAUCACUGAUCAGCCACUGUCAGCUAAGUAUAAACAUCUUAAUGGAGAGAUGAAUAGGAUCAACUGUCAUGCCUUUUACAUCAUUUCCUUUGCUUUUGUUACUGACUGUUUUUCUAAAGAAACUGCCUGAAUUUUAUGUUAUUAUAGUGUUAUAUAUGCACAGCGUUUGCAGCUGUUACUGAACAAUAAUGGUUGGAGUGAUAUAACAGGUAACUUCAGGAGAAAAUGGAUUUGGCCAUACAGCUUUUAGGUAGUGUGUAUAGCAUGCACACAUGUAUAAGGUACAAGAAAUAAAAGAAAGACUAACAUAAAUUGCUUUGGGAUG
ensembl:lncRNA